UGCGAUGUUUCCUGACGGUGGCACACAGGCAAAGUGGACCAAACCAUUUCCUUUUUGAAGAAGUUACAGAAAAAAAAGCUGUUGAAAAUGAACUUCACCGUAUGCUUCAUAGCCCUUACCUUUUUCCUGAUGAGCUCUGAUUGGCAGCCUUCGAGCAAUUCCUAAAGUACAAGCGGGGAAAGUAUUAUUCGGCCACAGAGAUUGCUGGAGAUAUACUUGCUUUUAUGGAAGCUGCCCAAGAGAGGCUCCGAGUGCUUGCGGAUGCCCUAGUCCUUGGGAAGCGUUAUUUGGAAUCAAGAAUUGUCGAUGAGGGUAUUUCUGAAAAUCCUGCAAUCUUUCGAAAUACACUGUAAUAAAAGAACUAUUUAUUUCUUUA